rnacentral:rRNA from 1 species
GAUGAACGCUGGCGGCGUGCCUAAUACAUGCAAGUCGAGCGAACGGACGAGAAGCUUGCUUCUCUGAUGUUAGCGGCGGACGGGUGAGUAACACGUGGAUAACCUACCUAUAAGACUGGGAUAACUUCGGGCAACCGGAGCUAAUACCGGAUAGUAUUUUGAACCGCAUGGUUCAAAAGUAAAAGACGGUCUUGCUGUCACUUAUAGAUGGAUCCGCGCUGCAUUAGCUAGUUGGUAAGGUAACGGCUUACCAAGGCAACGAUGCAUAGCCGACCUGAGAGGGUGAUCGGCCACACUGGAACUGAGACACGGUCCAGACUCCUACGGGAGGCAGCAGUAGGGAAUCUUCCGCAAUGGGCGAAAGCCUGACGGAGCAACGCCGCGUGAGUGAUGAAGGUCUUCGGAUCGUAAAACUCUGUUAUUAGGGAAGAAUAUAUGUGUAAGUAACUGUGCACAUCUUGACGGUACCUAAUCAGAAAGCCACGGCUAACUACGUGCCAGCAGCCGCGGUAAUACGUAGGUGGCAAGCGUUAUCCGGAAUUAUUGGGCGUAAAGCGCGCGUAGGCGGUUUUUUAAGUCUGAUGUGAAAGCCCACGGCUCAACCGUGGAGGGUCAUUGGAAACUGGAAAACUUGAGUGCAGAAGAGGAAAGUGGAAUUCCAUGUGUAGCGGUGAAAUGCGCAGAGAUAUGGAGGAACACCAGUGGCGAAGGCGACUUUCUGGUCUGUAACUGACGCUGAUGUGCGAAAGCGUGGGGAUCAAACAGGAUUAGAUACCCUGGUAGUCCACGCCGUAAACGAUGAGUGCUAAGUGUUAGGGGGUUUCCGCCCCUUAGUGCUGCAGCUAACGCAUUAAGCACUCCGCCUGGGGAGUACGACCGCAAGGUUGAAACUCAAAGGAAUUGACGGGGACCCGCACAAGCGGUGGAGCAUGUGGUUUAAUUCGAAGCAACGCGAAGAACCUUACCAAAUCUUGACAUCCUUUGACAACUCUAGAGAUAGAGCCUUCCCCUUCGGGGGACAAAGUGACAGGUGGUGCAUGGUUGUCGUCAGCUCGUGUCGUGAGAUGUUGGGUUAAGUCCCGCAACGAGCGCAACCCUUAAGCUUAGUUGCCAUCAUUAAGUUGGGCACUCUAAGUUGACUGCCGGUGACAAACCGGAGGAGGGUGGGGAUGACGUCAAAUCAUCAUGCCCCUUAUGAUUUGGGCUACACACGUGCUACAAUGGACAAUACAAAGGGCAGCGAAACCGCGAGGUCAAGCAAAUCCCAUAAAGUUGUUCUCAGUUCGGAUUGUAGUCUGCAACUCGACUACAUGAAGCUGGAAUCGCUAGUAAUCGUAGAUCAGCAUGCUACGGUGAAUACGUUCCCGGGUCU